UAUUAUGUCGUGAAAAUGUAUAUUAGUAAUAUAUAUUUAUAUUUUCCACAUCAAGUUUUCGGUGCAUUUUCCGGUUCCGACAGGCGACGCACAUCCGGUGGAGUUUCGACCAAUGAGAAGGCGUCGUUUCGUUUGAACCGGGGGAGCGGUACUCUUAUCGUUGUUCUGUCUGUUGUUUAAAAACGGAAUAAAAUACUUAUAUUUCAUCCCGUAACUAAAUCAACUAACGUUAGCUAAAAAAUUAAAUAAAUAAAAAGGUGUGAUAACGGAUACAGACGGAGGGGACGUUUAAUGUUUGAGUUUGUCGGUUCCCGAUCUUCUUGUUGGUGAAACUGACCUGAGUAAAGAUGAACCGAGCAGGCCAACCGUUGUUCAUGAAGACCUACGGCAAACAGAAACGGAAGUUGGAGGCCUGGAUCUCCCCUGACAACCGAAAACAGGUUUUCGACACCACCUCUUCCUCUGACCUCUCCAUUGCUGAGCCCUCCAACCCCAAACCCCCGGCCAAGAGAGGGAGAAAGACAAGUACAGCAGAUGGCAGUAGAGCGACGCGACUAGCUAAGUCCAAUGCCCUGUCCUGUCUGAGAGAGAAGGACAGUGACGAAGAGAACAUCUUCAUUGUCCCUCCUCCUCCUCCUCCUCCUCACACCCAGCAGCAGAGCAACAACGCAGACAGUCCGACUCCAGGGAAGUUUGUGACGCAUCGUAGGGGAGCAACAACCGCCAAACACAAAGCCCCCAAGAGGAAACUCAGAGUCCUGCUGGCCCAGCUCAGCUCAAACUCCUCUGAUGACUUCGUCCAUGAUGGAAGAGAAGAAGGGGGAGUGGUCCAGCGUGCCUUCCCUUGCCGUGCCAAACAGGGGCGCCGCCGUGCCCUGGCCAACGCUGACAGCUCGUUGGCCGACCCGGGGAACAGCGGAGUAGUAACCAACGGUUACGGUUUCCUGCGAGAUAUCUCUCUGAAUGAUUCGCCCGAGCGCCCCUCGGGACCCUGCCACAGGAAACCUCUCUUCUCCUCCACCCCUAGCUCACGUUCCCUCCGUCCUCCCAUCUCUCCCUCCGCCAGCGACGUCAUCUCUCUGAGCGCCGCCCGGGAGGAGCUGGCCGUUCCAGAGGACCCGCUCCGUCCCUCUCCGUCUGCCUCGCUCGCAGAUCCACGUCCUGGGCAACGCCAGCUGUCGUCCCUGUGCCGGGAAGUGGGACCAGAGGUAGGAAACUGCGAAGGAUCAACCAGCGUGAGGAGUAACAGGAGCCGGAAUGGAGACUCGGCGAUCCAAGAUGGCGUCGGUGAGCAGCUGAGCCUGAGCCUGUUCUCCGCGGUUGCCUGUGAGCGGACUGGCUCAGGCACGGCCGGGGAGGAAACUGAGGACGGCAGCCAUUUUGUGUCGGCGACGACGGCGGGACGGGAUUGGCUGGCCGAGGUAGUGAAGGAGAGAUGUCUGACGCGGCGCUGUGUCGUACGGCUAGAGAGAGAGUACAAACUGCACCGCGACGCCACCUAUUCGUCCUGCGUCGACCCUACGAGGUCACGCUACGACGGCGGGUCCGUCGACCACUCGGUGAUCAGAGAUCCGUCUACAG
rnacentral:lncRNA from 1 species